ACCAGCGUCUCUAAAACCACAGGCAUAUUCUUUAUCACUGAGCCACCUGGGAAGCCCAAGGUAAGGGGAAGAGGCUGCAAAUCUCUUUCAGCAGUGCAUCCUGGGGAAGGAGGUCAGAAGCCAAAAAAGGGAGGGAACCAACUGCAAGUUCCCCUUUAACAAGAGUGAGAAAUCUGCCGAAGCUUCGGGAAGUGCAGCCACUUCCUAUUUGAUUUUGAUUUACUUUAAAACAAUUUGAAAAUGUUUUCUUCAGUGUCCUCUGUGACAGGAUAACCACCAGUCUUUGCAAGGAUCUGGAUUUAGAGCUCUGCUCUGGGAUUCUGAUGCUGAAGCUGAAACUCCAAUACUUUGGCCACCUGAUGAGAAAGAACUGACUCAUUUGAACAGACCCUGAUGCUGGGAAUAAUUGAAGGCGGGAGGAGAAGGGGACGACAGAGGAUGAGAUAGUUGGAUGGCAUCACCGACUCAAUGGACAUGAGUUUGAAUAAGCUCUGGGAGUUGGUGACGGACAAGGAAGCCUGGUGUACUGCUGUCCAUGGGGUCACAAAGAGUUGAACAUGCUGAACGAUUGAACUGAACUGAACUGGGAUUCUGUAGCUGUGUGACCUUAGGCAAAUCCCUUUCCUUCUCUGACCUUCAGAUUCCUCAGCUGAAUCACUGACUGCUGUGAAGGUGAAUGAGGGAACAGAUUUCCUGUGCCACUCAUGGCCCUGGGAACUGUGUAGUCACCCAGACCCAGAGAAGUCUUCCAGCUUCAGGCAGACAGCAAGGAAGAAAACAUCCCUGGACCAUCAAUGAGCCUUUCUGGCUCCUGGACCCUGGCAUCAGAGCAAACCUGCAUUUUACAAGACUUUCCUCCCUUUGGCCUUAAACCUGCAAAUCUAGGGAGAGAAACAGUGGAUCCACAUGGACUUGGAGGCCAGAGCAAGUAGUAGGAAGUGUUUUCCUGGUGCCGCCUUCCUGAGUGGCGUUGCCUCCUGCAGACUGUGGCACAGCAGAGAUAUUAUUGUCUUUCAUUGAAACGAAUGGAUGCCCUUCUGGGAGUCUGGAUAUUAUCAAGAUGAAAAAGACCUGCUCUCUCCAGACUGGCUGGGCUGGAAGCAUUUAAGAAGAAGAGCUCUCAGCUGGACUCGUCCGCUCCUUCCAACACUUGGAGAGAUGUCACUACCAGGACCAUACUGACUGAUGGAGCUGCCAACUCUCUCACUUCAGGGGAAGGCAUUCCUCUUGGAAAAUGCAGCCAUUGCUGGGAGUUCAUCUUUGACUUGGGCUUCCUAGAGCUCCCAAGUUUAUGACGCUCAUCAGGUAUGGGGUCUUGAAGAGGAAUCUUGGCUCUCUGAUUUGUCUUACAUCAAUGGAUUUUGCUGGGCCUGGGAGAUUCUGCAGCAUCCAGCCUGCUCAGGAUGGUUCAGGAAUGCCAUUUCACAUUUCCACAGAGCAGAAAGCUUCCCUUUAAAACAGAACAUAUUAGAAGUUACCCCACUGGUAAGAAGUAGGAGAAAAUAAAAGGAGGAGUCCAUGAAAGUCACUGAGAACCUAAGGAUGUCUGUGUUCCCUGUAGCAUAUACUUCUUCCCAGGAUCAUUUGGUCUCAAAGUAUUAUUUGCAGAAGAAGAGCUAAGAGGGAAAGAGAAGGCCCCUGCCCACUACCCACAUCCCUGGAUGUGGUUCUGAGAUGAUGCUUCUUAUUUGGUCAUAUUUAUCAUCUCAAAAUUUGGAAAAUCAAAGAUACCCGAAAUGAGACAAAUUCUGCUUCACAUUCAAAUACGUAAUUCUCCUUCACUUGUGGGCCGGCAUCUGUGUUCAGUGGAAAAGUCCAGCCAGCAAAUGUUCAGGCCACAGCCUGGUGGGAGGAGCUAAGUGUUCUCCGAGAUUACGGCCUGUGACAAUAAGAGCUUGAGACCAACAGCUGGUGUAUCAAGUUUGACUCAUGGACACUUGGAGAUCCCGGCACACUGGACGCCCAUUUCCCCUGGGCCUCCUGUGGGUCUGGCAGCCACUGCCCAUACGGGAACCACGUUUGUGCUUCUGUUUACUUCUGUCCGCUUCUGGCAUCUCUGCAUGUGCUCUGAGCCUGGGCCUGUGGGCUGCCUGUUUAUGCUCUUGAACAACUUGAGUUUCCACUCUCAAUGGUAAUGUUUAAAAUUUUAUUUCAUAUACUUUACUUUACUAAAGUAAUAUAACCACAUAAUAA